rnacentral:rRNA from 1 species
UCUCCUGGAAACGGGUGGUAAUGCCGGAUGUUCCAGUUGAUCGCAUGGUCUUCUGGGAAAGCUUUCGCGGUAUGGGAUGGGGUCGCGUCCUAUCAGCUUGACGGCGGGGUAACGGCCCACCGUGGCUUCGACGGGUAGCCGGCCUGAGAGGGCGACCGGCCACAUUGGGACUGAGAUACGGCCCAGACUCCUACGGGAGGCAGCAGUGGGGAAUAUUGCACAAUGGGCGCAAGCCUGAUGCAGCGACGCCGCGUGAGGGAUGGAGGCCUUCGGGUUGUAAACCUCUUUUAUCGGGGAGCAAGCGAGAGUGAGUUUACCCGUUGAAUAAGCACCGGCUAACUACGUGCCAGCAGCCGCGGUAAUACGUAGGGUGCAAGCGUUAUCCGGAAUUAUUGGGCGUAAAGGGCUCGUAGGCGGUUCGUCGCGUCCGGUGUGAAAGUCCAUCGCUUAACGGUGGAUCCGCGCCGGGUACGGGCGGGCUUGAGUGCGGUAGGGGAGACUGGAAUUCCCGGUGUAACGGUGGAAUGUGUAGAUAUCGGGAAGAACACCA